AUUGAACGCUGGCGGCAUGCCUUACACAUGCAAGUCGAACGGCAGCGGGGGAGAAGCUUGCUUUUCCUGCCGGCGAGUGGCGAACGGGUGAGUAAUACAUCGGAACGUGCCCUGUAGUGGGGGAUAACUAGUCGAAAGAUUAGCUAAUACCGCAUACGACCUGAGGGUGAAAGUGGGGGACCGCAAGGCCUCAUGCUAUAGGAGCGGCCGAUGUCUGAUUAGCUAGUUGGUGGGGUAAAGGCCUACCAAGGCGACGAUCAGUAGCUGGUCUGAGAGGACGAUCAGCCACACUGGGACUGAGAGUCGGCCCAGACUCCUACGGGAGGCAGCAGUGGGGAAUUUUGGACAAUGGGCGAAAGCCUGAUCCAGCAAUGCCGCGUGUGUGAAGAAGGCCUUCGGGUUGUAAAGCACUUUUGUCCGGAAAGAAAUGGCUCUGGUUAAUACCUGGGGUCGAUGACGGUACCGGAAGAAUAAGGACCGGCUAACUACGUGCCAGCCGCCGCGGUAA
rnacentral:rRNA from 1 species